UGCGUAGGCGGCUUGAUAAGUCAGAGGUGAAAGCCCACCGCUUAACGGUGGAAUUGCCUUUGAUACUGUUGGGCUUGAAUAAGGCUGAGGUCGGCGGAAUGUGUCAUGUAGCGGUGAAAUGCAUAGAUAUGACAUAGAACACCAAUUGCGAAGGCAGCUGACUAGACCUUUAUUGACGCUGAGGCACGAAAGCGUGGGGAGCGAACAGGAUUAGAUACCCUGGUAGUCC
rnacentral:rRNA from 1 species